rnacentral:rRNA from 1 species
AUGCGUAGGGGUUCUGAGAGGAAGGUCCCCCACACUGGUACUGAGACACGGACCAGACUCCUACGGGAGGCAGCAGUGAGGAAUAUUGGUCAAUGGGAGAGAUCCUGAACCAGCCAAGCCGCGUGAGGGAAGACGGCCCUAUGGGUUGUAAACCUCUUUUGUCGGAGAACAAAACCCGGGACGUGUCCCGGACUGCGUGUAUCCGAAGAAAAAGCAUCGGCUAACUCCGUGCCAGCAGCCGCGGUAAUACGGAGGAUGCGAGCGUUAUCCGGAUUUAUUGGGUUUAAAGGGUGCGUAGGCGGUCCGUUAAGUCAGCGGUAAAAUUGCGGGGCUCAACCCCGUCGAGCCGUUGAAACUGGCAGACUUGAGUUGGCGAGAAGUACGCGGAAUGCGCGGUGUAGCGGUGAAAUGCAUAGAUAUCGCGCAGAACUCCGAUUGCGAAGGCAGCGUACCGGCGCCAGACUGACGCUGAGGCACGAAAGCGUGGGGAUCGAACAGGAUUAGAUACCCUGGUAGUCCACGCAGUA